CGUACAGGUUGUGCAAGGAAACUCGUUCAAUCCGUACAGGUUGUGCAAGGAAACUCGUUCAAUCCGUACAGGUUGUGCAAGGAAACUCGUUCAAUCCGUACAGGUUGUGCAAGGAAACUCGUUCAAUCCGUACAGGUUGUGCAAGGAAACUCGUUCAAUCCGUACAGGUUGUGCAAGGAAACUCGUUCAAUCCGUACAGGUUGUGCAAGGAAACUCGUUCAAUCCGUACAGGUUGUGCAAGGAAACUCGUUCAAUCCGUACAGGUUGUGCAAGGAAACUCGUUCAAUCCGUACAGGUUGUGCAAGGAAACUGUGUCAGAACAUUAAUGUGUUUCUUUACAACAUCGGUUUGUUUGUUUGUUUUUUAACGCCUCACUUAGCAAUUAUCCAGCUAUAUGGCAGCGGUCUGAAAAUAAUCGUGUCUGGACCAGACAAUCCUGUGAUCAGUAUCAUGAGCAUCUACGCAGUUGUGAUAUACAUAUAAAUAUAUAAGUAUAUAUUUUCGCUGUCAGCACCUGUUUUGGAUUUGCCAGAUCAUUUUGUAUGUACGUGAGAAACGAUGUUUUUAUUAGUCACGUUUAAAGGUACAGUCGCUGGGAAUACUCUUAGAUCCCAGUCUGUCCAUGGAAGCCCAAAUAAAUAACCUGUGCAGAACAUGCUAUUCUCAUCUUAGAGUGAUUGGCAGUAUACGUCCUCUAAUUACCACAGAAUCUGCUCAUUUCCCUUGUCCGUGCUCUAAUUCUCAGCAGACUAGAUUAUUGUAACAGUCUCUAUAUUGGCCUCCCUGACACUCUACUUGACAGACUACAAAAAGUCCAAAAUACAGCCGCUCGCAUCGUCAGCCGUACUUCCAAACACAGUCACAUUACCCCAGUUCUAAAGCAGCUCCACUGGUUACCUGUGAGAGCCAGGAUUCAAUUCAAGACACUCUGCCUCACAUACAAGUCCCUUCACGGCCAGGCUCCACCCUACAUUGCAGAUCUGAUCAACCCCUACAGUCCAUCGCACGAACUUCGCUCACAGUAGCAAAACCUUCUGACAGUGCCGAACUACAAACUUAAAACCUUUGGAUACAGAACUUUCUCCUACACUUCCCCUGUCUUGUGGAACUCUAUCCCAUUUGACCUCAAACACUCUGAAUCUCUGGACUCUUUUAAAUCAAAUCUCAAAACCUACCUUUUUGCUAAAUAUUAUCCUCAAUAGCCUUUAUUGUUUAUAUAUUAUGCACCUAUUCAUUGUAGUUUUCUUGCUCUGUAUAUAUAAUGUAUUUAUUUUAAGGUACUUAUGUAGCGCCAAGAGCAUGCUUCUGAGCGUGGAUAUG